rnacentral:rRNA from 1 species
GAAUUUUCCGCAAUGGGCGAAAGCCUGAUCCAGCCAUGCCGCGUGAGUGAAGAAGGCCUUAGGGUUGUAAAGCUCUUUCACCUGCGAAGAUGAUGACGGUAGCAGGAGAAGAAGCCCCGGCUAACUCCGUGCCAGCCGCCGCGGUAAUACGGAGGGAGCUAGCGUUGUUCGGAAUUACUGGGCGUAAAGCGCGCGUAGGCGGCUUUUCAAGUCAGGGGUGAAAUCCCGGGGCUCAACCCCGGAACUGCCCUUGAAACUGGAUGGCUAGAAUACUGGAGAGGUGAGUGGAAUUCCGAGUGUAGAGGUGAAAUUCGUAGAUAUUCGGAAGAACACCAGUGGCGAAGGCGACUCACUGGACAGUUAUUGACGCUGAGGUGCGAAAGCGUGGGGAGCAAACAGG